GUGCAAACGCGAUCCCUAACUCUGCAUGAUGCUGCAGAGGCGAAGGGAACCAGGUUUGCUAACGUAAUUGUGGUGAUAGAAACGUAUGAGCCUCAGAAGCUCCUGAGGCGGUUCAUUCUAUCCUAGUACAACG